UGGUGGAGUGAAUUGUCUGGUUAAUUCCGUUAACGAACGAGACCUCAGCCUACUAAAUAGACCUGGCAUUUUCAUAAUGUCGAGGACUUCUUAGAGGGACUUUUCGGUUCUACCGAAAGGAAGUUUGAGGCAAUAACA
rnacentral:rRNA from 1 species